ACGUCACACUGAACAAGCGGAUCACGAGAGAAAUCGGAAGUACGUCAUAGACGUUGUGUACCGGAGCCACUGAAAAGGACAAGUAGCUCCCUAUUGUGUGAUAUUUACUGCAGCUCCAUCCUCAGCACCCUUCUACCAAUGUACUCACUCUGUCGCCUUUGGACAUAUUGUAACCAGUUUUGGAUUUCCUGGUCCGAUAAAGUCUGUGAAGAUGGCAAAGCUUCAAGGUUUUGAUUUUUGGAAGAAAACCCUGAAAGAAGCUUGCUUUGUCGUGGCACCCAUGGUGGAUCAGAGCGAACUGGCAUGGCGUUUACUUAGCCGUCGCCAUGGUGCUCACCUCUGUUUCACCCCCAUGCUGCAUGCGCAGGUAUUUGUUCGUGAUGCUAAUUACAGGAGAGAAAACCUCUAUAAUGAGGUUUGUGAGGAAGAUCGACCCCUAAUAACUCAGUUUUGUGCAAAUGAUCCCGAGGUGUUCAUUCAGGCAGCUCUUUUGGCCCAGAACUACUGUGACGCCAUUGACCUCAACCUGGGUUGUCCUCAGAUGAUCGCAAAAAGGGGCCACUAUGGAGUUUUCCUGCAAGAUGAAUGGGAGCUGUUAAAAAAUAUGGUCAUGUUAGCAAACGAAAAGCUGUCUGUGCCUAUCACGUGUAAGAUCCGUGUGUUUGAGGACAUCGAAAAGACUGUCUGCUAUGCCCAGAUGUUGGAGAAAGCUGGAUGCCAGCUACUCACUGUGCACGGCAGAACCAAGGACCAGAAAGGAGCAAUGACUGGAAUUGCUAGCUGGGAGCAUGUCAGAGCAGUUCGGAAGGCUGUAAAUAUUCCUGUAUUUGCGAACGGCAACAUUCAGCAUCUGAGUGAUGUGCAACGCUGCAUUAAGGAGACAGGAGUGCAAGGGGUGAUGAGUGCAGAGGGAAACCUCCAUAACCCAGCACUCUUUGAAGGACGUAGCCCCCCCGUUUGGGAGAUGGCCGAAGAGUACUUUGAGGUGGUGAGGCAGCAUCCCCCAUGCAACCUGUCCUAUGUACGAGCCCAUCUCUUCAAGCUGUGGCACCACACGCUUCAGAUCCACCAGGACCUGAGAGAGGACUUGGCUAAAGUCAAAACUCUUGAGGGUUUGGCUCACGUUAGUAACCAGCUAAGGCUGCGAUGCCAGGAAGAGAUUGCCAGAGGAAAUGUUCCGGAUAAGAAGAGCACCCUGCCCUUCCCUCACUGGAUCUGCCAACCAUAUGUCAGACCACCGCCCAAAGAUUUGUCUUGCAAAGAUAACUUCCAGGAUUCACAAGUAAAGAUGACAGGGUGCCAAAAGAGAAUACUAGAGGAUACAACUGUGUCACCUGAGAAACUCUCCAAAAAUAAACAGAAGAAAAGAUCCCGCAAUCCCAACAAGAACUUCUGUCCUGAUCAGAAACCCAAGUACAUCAAAUGUGAACAGUGUGGCAACCCAAAGGCUCGGGGACACCACCUCAUCCACAUGCACCAACAGCACCGGAGCAUCCCAAGGUUGUGUCUUCUCACUUCUGCUCUUCUCGCUCUACACCAACGACUGCACUUCAUGGCAUCCGACUGUGAAACUCCUGAAGUUUCCAGAUGACACCACGGUCAUCGGCUUCAUCAAAGACUGUGACGAAUCUUCAUAUCGACUGGAGCUUUGGUGUGGUAACCUCAACACAACCUAUUGAACACUCUAAAGACUGUCGAGAUGAUUGUGGACUGUCGGAGGCAACCUUCACCAGAGCUGACGCUGUCCAACUGUCUUGUGGCAACUGUCAAGACCUUCAAGUUCUUGCGAAUUACAUUGUCAAAGGAUCUGAGGUGGAAGAUGAACAUCAACUCCAUCCUCAAAAAGCCCAGCAAAGGAUGUACUUCUUGCAGCUUCUGGGGAAGCACGGCCUGUCAUGGGAGCUGCUGAGUCAGUUCUACACAGCGGUCAUCCAAUCAGUACUGUCUACCUCCAUCACAGUCUGGUUUGGGACUGCCACAAAAAAGGACAAACUCCGACUACAAUGGACAAUAAAAAACGGAAUGUCAGCACCUCUCUACCCACGAUUGAAGACUUGCACGCAACUCGAACUUGGUCCAGAGCGGGCAGGAUUCUUUCAGACCCUCCACAUCCUGGCCUCCAGCUCUUCCAGCUCCUUCCGCCGGGAAAGUGCUACCGAUCAAUGCAAACUACAAACUAGCAGGCAUUCAAACUGUUUUUUCCCUCUGGCAAUUGAUCAUCGACCCUACUAUUUUCUGCCUUGUGCCAUUGUUGGGACACACCCUCACAUCCUUCUGGUCCAACUAGUAUUCAUAUUAGUAAUGUAUUUUGUAUACUAUCGCACGAUUCGUCACUUUCAAUGCUCCCUUUGCACAAUUGUCAUUGCACUGGACUAUAACGAAAACCGCAAAUAGGUAAAGGCACACAGUACUACAAGCUUAACACUGUGAGACUUUGACACACUCUUAUCUCUUACCUAUUUGAAAUGAAGAUUACAUCUUGGACAUCUGUGACUCUUGUAAGGGAUAGUCCCUAUAAACAGAAAUGUCUCUUGUUCUUUUGUUCUUGUUACUUCGUUGUCCUUUGUUCUGAAUGUCAGCCCUGCCGGAGAAAAAAUCCUUUUGUGUUUUGACACACUUUGCCAAUUAAGCUGAUUAUGAUUCUUAUCUGGGAUCUUGUUCUUUUGGUCACGAUCGACUGGUAAAUUGAGUGUGUCUCCUUUCGUCUUAGCACCUUUCGUCCCACGACAGACCGAUACAAAGUCAUCAAAGUCAACCCAUCACUGCAGACGCUGCACCAAUCCGCCUGUCGAUCUCCCGCUCCAUUCUUUACUCAAUCAUGAACAAGACCCCAACAUACUUGAACUCCAAGUCCACAAAACACAUGUCGACUGGUUGGACGAACACCCAUGCACCCUCGAGGAUCCUGCCAAAGGUGUCACACUGGUACACUGCUCCACGGCCAGCACGAAAGCCACAUUGUUCCUCCUGAAUCUGAGAUUCGAAAUCCCGACAAACCCUCCUCUCCAGAUGAAUACACUUACCAGGGAGGCUGAGGUCUGUGAUUCCCCCUAUAGUUGGAACACACCCGAAGGGGGACCACCACCCCAGUCUGCAAAUCCAGAGGCACUAUCCCCGAUGUCCAUGUGAUGUUGCAGAGGCGUGUCAACCAGGACGGCCCCACAACAUCCAGAGCCUUUAGGAACUCCGUGCGAAUCUCAUCCACCCCUGGGGCUCUGCCACCAAGGAGGUUUUGCACCUCUUUGGUGACCAUGACCCCAGAGAUAGAAGACCCUGCCUCAGAGAACAGGCACAACUCAGUGUACUUGGCAGUGGAAAGGGACUGUUGUGAGUAGGAGCGUGGGAUGUAGAGACUGCUCAGGUCCUGAAGCGAUUCUUUCCAUGUCUCCCAAAUCCUUCUCUUGUCUUCAGGAAGGCCUUAGUCCCAAUCCUGGAUGUCAGAGGACAGUUCUCUGAGCAGUGGUCUUCCCUGGAUCGUCACCGGCGCCACGAAGCCUAAGGGGUCAAAGAGACUAUUGACCGUGGAGAGCACACCGCGAUGAGUGAAGGGCUUGUCACCUCCUGCAGGCUUGAACGUAAAGGUGUCAAUGUUAAUGUCCAGCCCAGACCAAGGCUUCUUUGUGUUGGCAGCUCACCAUCCUCGAGACCCAGGUCUUUAGUUUUCAGCAAGGUCAAGGUUGUCAGGUCGUUGCCCUUAUGCCAGAGAAAAUCGUAAAUAGUUUUUGUGAUCCUCUUGUACCAGGAAGCUGUGAUCCUCUUGGACCACGAAGCUGUAGAACAUUUGUUGGAUAUCUGGUGCUAUCCCCACAAGUUCUUUGCGAGACCUCAUCAACACUCUGAUAAAGGAAUUGUUCAAGUCAGGGCCAGAGUUGACGACGCUGUUGAGGGCAAAGUCCACGGUGUUGGGCACUGGAGUCAAACACCACCCAUAUCUGACCUGGUUUCUAGGGGUGGUACGCUCCAAAGACUGGCAGAUACCAGCACUCUUUGUUCUCCUAGAGUAGGGGUGUUUCCUCUGCGUGCUUUUUUGUGAAAACGUUCUCCAUGAAAGCAGCAAACUUCAUUUCCGGCCUCUUGUUCACUGUACAUUGCAAGGAAGAGAGGCGGGAGAGGGCUUCAUCACGGUUAUUUAGAGGUGGUGGUCUGGGUGUCCUAAAGGGCAAGGGGCAACACAGCUGCUUUGUUCAUUUUUGUCGGACUCUUUCUGCAUGAUUUCGAGUGAGACCUCAGCCUACAAUGACAUAGCGCAUUUGUUGUCAUUCUCUGUCUUUUCAAAAACAGUGUGACCAAGUUCUUGCUCAUCUGGCACAUGGGAGUGUUUGGGCACGUGAGGAUGAACGGUAGACUCCCCGCCAUCACUUAUCCUCUUUUUCAAGGGAAUGCGUUAGAGCACACAGGAAAGCAUUCCACGUUUUGACUCUCUGCCAUAGAUUGUUCUCUUUCAUGUUGAUGCGAUUCUGGCAAGGAGUGAGGUUUGGCAGACGUCCGUUCUGAAGGAUAUUUGUAUUGUUGAUAUGGACUGUUGUUGGACUGUGGACAUUGCUGUUGCCUUCAUGCAACGAUUACCCAGCCUAAAUCUAGGCGCUGAGCAAAAGGUGCGUUGUUGAGGCCAUUUACCGUUUGUCUCACCUUAUGUUCUCUGAUCAUGUCUCUUUCCAGCAACAGUAAGAUUUCACCAUCAGUGUCUAACUUUGGGAGGUAAGGUGCCACAGACGUUAAGUGGGUGGACAGAAGGUCAACAUCUGGUGUUGCAAUUUCUGACCUUUUGCUCAUUAUCUCGUUACAUUCAAUGAGAGGUGGGAGGUCAAAACACUCACCACCACUGACCGCUUCAUUCUGGAAUCCGACUGCUUUCCUUCCAGUCAUCUCUCUGAUGCCAGCACAGGUCCUAGGUAGGGUGACAGGCUGCCUUGGAGUACAAACAGCUGGAAGAACUCUGACCUUGCCAGCGAGCGGUGGCUCUGGUCAUCAAGGACUACAUACACCACCUCCGCAUCAGAGCUAAUGUCGCACAACGGCGGCUAACAGCGAUAUGAUGCAGAUCUUUUGUAACGUUUUGAGAGGAGGAUUACGUGCUUGGACGUGGACUGAGCUUUUUAUUAAUACUGUUGCUUUCGGACAAGUACGCGGACACCACCGAUAUGACACAGAUCUUGUGUCAUAUUCUGAGAGAAGGAUUACGUCGUCGAAUGCAGACGGAGCUUUUCAUUUAUACUGCUGCUUUCGGACAAGUACACGGAUUUCCUGGAACAUUCGCUGAAAAUAUUUGUUCGAGUUUGGUGACUAUAUGUUGUUUUGCUAGUUAGCGUGUUACACACUACUAAACUAUCUUUAGUUUAAACUAUCCUAUGAUCGACCAAGACUGCCUCGCGAUCGAUCAAUGUAUUGAGCACACCUGAUUUAAGUGACUUCAAGUAACUUCAUCAAAGUUGUGCAAUUCUGAUGUGUUGGCUCACCUUGAUGAAAAAUUGACACAGUUGCCAGCUGAACAGAAAGCUGAAAUGUGUGGAAGGGGGUGCAGUGCAUGCUGGACAUUAUUCUUGAACCCAGUGACAGUUCGUUGAGCUCACCAUGUGUACUUGUGCCGAAGAGUCGUGGUGGUGGUUGGCGCUGCUGCGCUAACAUGAAGACUGUCAAUGCACUGUCACAAACUGAUUCCUAACCUCUACUGAGAGUGGAUGAUCGCACUGAUCACGUUGGUCACGCUACCUAACCUAACCCUAACUUAUGAAGGGUAAAUCCAUUCUCCCAAGUGUUCAAGCAAUGUCCAGCAAUGCAAUGAGCCGGCAUUUUGGCUAACACAAAGGAACAACGAGCUGCCUUCCCGGAGGUAAAACUAGUGGAAACAAACGAGUACAUGUGGGGGCGCCGCUGUCCUUUACGUCACUUCCUGCUUCUCGAAAACAAAUCCCUUGAGAUGAUUUUCAUGACGGGAGUUACAAAAAACUGUACACGUCAAAAUCAUGUUUUGUGGUGGAAAAAAAGCAUGAGCCCAUAUUGGCUGAUGUUUUUUCAUUAAUAACAUACUAAAAAUCAUCCAUUUUCCAUGACAGUAGCCCUUUAACCACCCAAACCUGCUGCUGCACAUCCUUCCCAUCUCUAUCCGUCUGUCUGGCGAGCCAACCUGUCAAGGGAAAUAAAUGUGUCUUCAAUCUUUGUCGGGGUUGCUGUAAGAAGAAGUCUUACAAGGAGGUGGCCAACUGUUUAAGCCAUGGACUCAAAUUCAAGACCAAGGCAGAUGCAAGUAAAGCUCAAGAGGAUGUGAG